rnacentral:rRNA from 1 species
UUGUUGUAAGUGUGUAAGGGCGUUCGGUGGAUGCCUUGGUACCAGGAGCCGAUGAAGGACGUGGUAGGCCGCGAUAGUCCUCGGGGAGUUGUCAAACGAGCUGUGAUCCGAGGGUGUCCGAAUGGGGAAACCCAGCACGAGUGAUGUCGUGUUACCACCAGCUGAAUGUAUAGGCUGUGUGGGGGGAACGUGGGGAAGUGAAACAUCUCAGUACCCAUAGGAAGAGAAAACAAUUGUGAUUCCGUGAGUAGUGGCGAGCGAAAGCGGAGGAGGCUAAAC